UAACUCUCACUUUGUAGUGGUAUAUUUAGGAUUUGAUGUGACACAGUUAUUUAUUGCUGAGUGAGCAAACCCCUAGCCCCCAAGUGGGGACUACAGGCUUCAGUGCUUCCCCCACACUGCCUGAGCUACCAGCCCUUCUGCACUGGCCCUCCUGCCAAUACUGCCUGCACUGUCCCCACUCCCUCUGGCUCCCAUGAUCACCAGAUCCGCCCUGCAGGCUCCCUGUCACCUGUGGGGCCCUAUCCAGACCCCCUAAUCCACUUGCCUAGCAGCCCCACUCUUCCCUCGAUGGCUCAGAUCCUGAGAUCCAAGGAACACCCUGGGUUUCCCAACCACUCUCUUACUGCAGAGGUCCUAGGUGCUCCUGGAUCGUGUAGUCUUUAACUGCUGCCCCAAGGGACCUCAAGGAAUAGGAAUUCUCUUUGUUAGGAGGUGGAAUGAAAGUGUCCAGCAAACUCCAGCCAGCAGCGUUCGUCCCUUGAUUUAGAGGGCUAUGAUUUCUACAAAGUGGCCCGACUGGCCCGCGAACACGCAGCAGAGACGCGGCCUCCACAAGGUCAGAACUAAGAUGUCCUCAGAGAUCCCCAGUUACGAAGCAAAGCGCGGGCCUACUUCGGGACCUACGCGUCCGGGCGCUGUGCGCGGGGACCGCUCCCGGGCCCAGCGUCGGGGC
ensembl:lncRNA C6orf47-AS1 C6orf47 antisense RNA 1